GCCGGGGUGGUGGAAUUGGUAGACACACAGGACUUAAAAUCCUGCGGCCCUUAAAGCUGUGCCGGUUCGAUUCCGGCCCUCGGCA
rnacentral:tRNA from 1 species